rnacentral:rRNA from 1 species
AGAGUUUGAUCCGGCUCAGGAUGAACGCUAGCGGCAGGCUUAAUACAUGCAAGUCGAGGGGCAGCACGGGUAGCAAUACCUGGUGGCGACCGGCAAACGGGUGAGGAACAUGUACGCAACCUUCCUUUAACUGGGGAAUAGCCCCUCGAAAGAGGGAUUAAUACCUCGUAAUAUAAUGAAGUGGCAUCGCUUUAUUAUUAUAGCUCCGGCGGUUAAAGAUGGGCGUGCACCUGAUUAGGUAGUUGGCGGGGUAACGGCCCACCAAGCCUACGAUCAGUAACUGGUGUGAGAGCACGACCAGUCACACGGGCACUGAGACACGGGCCCGACUCCUACGGGAGGCAGCAGU